CAUUACAGAAGGAUAUCGCCCUCGGGCUUCUCUUCUCACCCUUUGUUUACCACACGUAGUUGCCUUGGCGCUCCGCGCCAGUGGAUCGAAACUCCUGAAUCAUUGCCGUCUGAGUACUAUUCAAUAGUUAAAACUUUCAACAACGGAUCUCUUGGUUCUGGCAUCGAUGAAGAACGCAGCGAAAUGCGAUAAGUAAUGUGAAUUGCAGAAUUCAGUGAAUCAUCGAAUCUUUGAACGCACAUUGCGCCCUCCGGUAUUCCGGGGGGCAUGCCUGUUCGAGCGUCAUUACAACCCUCAAGCUCUGCUUGGUGUUGAGCCCGCCCCGGCCUGCCCGGGGCUCGCUUCAAAGUCAGUGGCGGCCGCCGUCCGACCUUCAGCGCAGUAAUGCUCGCCGCUGUUAGGGAAGGGUAGCAAGGGCCGUCAUACAACCCCCACACACAAGGUUGACCUCGGAUCAGGUAGGGAUACCCGCUGAACUUAAGCAUAUCAAUAAGCGGAGGAAAAGAAACCAACAGGGAUUGCCUCAGUAACGGCGAGUGAAGCGGCAACAGCUCAAAUUUGAAAGCUGGCUCCUUCGGGGCCCGCGUUGUAAUUUGUAGAGGAUGCUUCGGGCGCGGCGCCGGUCUAAGUUCUCUGGAACGAGACGUCAUAGAGGGUGAGAAUCCCGUAUGUGACUGGCUGCCUGUGCCCAUGUGAAGCUCCUUCGACGAGUCGAGUUGUUUGGGAAUGCAGCUCAAAAUGGGAGGUGUACUCCUUCUAAAGCUAAAUAUUGGCCAGAGACCGAUAGCGCACAAGUAGAGUGAUCGAAAGAUGAAAAGCACUUUGGAAAGAGAGUUAAACAGUACGUGAAAUUGUUGAAAGGGAAGCGCUUGCAAUCAGACUUGCGCGGCGUCGAUCAGCCUGGGUUCUCCCUGGUGCACUCGGCGCCGCUCAGGCCAGCAUCAGUUUCGGCGGUGGGAUAAAGGCCUAGGGA
rnacentral:rRNA from 1 species